UACGUAGGGUCCGAGCGUUGUCCGGAAUUAUUGGGCGUAAAGAGCUCGUAGGCGGUCUGUCGCGUCGGCUGUGAAAACCUGGGGCUCAACUCCAGGCCUGCAGUCGAUACGGGCAGACUAGAGUUCGGUAGGGGAGACUGGAAUUCCUGGUGUAGCGGUGAAAUGCGCAGAUAUCAGGAGGAACACCGGUGGCGAAGGCUGGUCUCUGGGCCGAAACUGACGCUGAGGAGCGAAAGCGUGGGGAGCAAACAGG
rnacentral:rRNA from 1 species